AGAGUUUGAUCCUGGCUCAGGAUAAACGCUGGCGGCGUGCUUCAGGCAUGCAAGUCGAACGGACACUUCGGUGUCAGUGGCGGACGGGUGAGUAACACGUAAGCAACCUGCCCAGAAGUGGGGAAUAACUGGCCGAAAGGCUAGCUAAUACCGCAUGUGAUGGCUUUUCCCUGGAGAGGUCAUAAAAGGCGAAAGUCACUUCUGGAGGGGCUUGCGGCAGAUUAGCUUGUUGGUGGGGUAACGGCCUACCAAGGCGACGAUCAGUAGCUGGUCUGAGAGGACGACCAGCCACACUGGGACUGAGACGCGGCCCAGACUCCUACGGGAGGCAGCAGUGGGGAAUUUUGGACAAUGGGCGCAAGCCUGAUCCAGCCAUGCCGCGUGCGGGAAGAAGGCCUUCGGGUUGUAAACCGCUUUUGGCAGGAACGAAACGGCGCGAGCGAAUAUCUCGCGUUAAUGACGGUACCUGCAGAAUAAGCACCGGCUAACUACGUGCCAGCCGCCGCGGUAAUUC
rnacentral:rRNA from 1 species